rnacentral:rRNA from 1 species
GGGCAGACCACCUGUGUAUCUAAUACUGACGCUCUGACACGAAAGCGUGGGGAGCAAACAGGAUUAGAUACCCUGGUAGUCGCACGCCCUAAACGAUGUCAACUAGCUGUUGGGGCCGAUAGGCCUUAGUAGCGCAGCUAACGCGUGAAGUUGACCGCAGCUGGGGAGUACGGUCGCAAGAUUAAAACUCAAAGGAAUUGACGGGGACCCGCACAAGCGGUGGAUGAUGUGGAUUAAUUCGAGUGCAACGCGAAAAACCUUACCUACCCUUGACAUGUCUGGAAAGCACGAAGAGAUUUGGCCGUGCUCGCAAGAGAACCGGAACACAGGUGCUGCAUUUCGGGCUGUCGUCAGCUCGUGUCGUGAUCGAUGUUGGGUUAAGUCCCGCAACGAGCGCAACCCUUGUCAUUAGUUGCUACGCAAGAGCACUCGUAAUGAGACUGCCGGUGACAAACCGGAGGAAGGUGGGGAUGACGUCAGCAGUCCUCAUGGAGUGCCCUUAUGGGUAGGGCUUCACACGUCAUACAAUGGUCGCGGACAGAGGGUCGCCAACCCGCGAGGGGGAGCCAAUCUCAGAAACCCGAUCGUAGUCCGGAUCGCAGUCUGCAACUCGACUGCGUGAAGUCGGAAUCGCUAGUAAUCGCGGAUCAGAAUGUCGCGGUGAAUACGUUCCCGGGUCUUGCUACACACCGCCCGUCACACCAUGGGAGUGGGUUUCACCAGAAGUAGGUAGCCUAACCGUAAGGAGGGCGCUUACCACGGUGGGAUUCAUGACUGGGGUGAGCGCCCU